rnacentral:tRNA from 1 species
AGCAGCGUGGCUGAAUGGAAAAAGCAUGGACCAAGUCUCCGAGGACCUGGGUUCUAAUCCUGGCUCUGCCA